CACGGGGUUGCGAGCGUUGUCCGGAAUUACUAGGCGUAAAGGGCAGGCAGGCGGAUCCACAAGUUUAUCGUUUAAGGCGUCGGCUUAACCGGCGUAGGGCGGUAGAUACUGUGGAUCUGGAAUGCGGUUGGGGAAGACAGAAUUCCUGGUGUAGCGGAGGAAUGCGCAGAGAUCAGGAGGAAUACCGAAGGCGAAGGCAGUCUUCCAAGCCGUUAUUGACGCUCAACUGCGAAGGUGUGGGUAUCAAACAGGAUUAGAUACCCUGGUAGUCCCUGA
rnacentral:rRNA from 1 species